GAUGAACGCUAGCUACAGGCUUAACACAUGCAAGUCGAGGGGAAACGACAUCGAAAGCUUGCUUUUGAUGGGCGUCGACCGGCGCACGGGUGAGUAACGCGUAUCCAACCUGCCCACCACUUGGGGAUAACCUUGCGAAAGUAAGACUAAUACCCAAUGCUAUCUCUAGAAGACAUCUGAAAGGGAUUAAAGAUUUAUCGGUGAUGGAUGGGGAUGCGUCUGAUUAGCUUGUUGGCGGGGUAACGGCCCACCAAGGCGACGAUCAGUAGGGGUUCUGAGAGGAAGGUCCCACACAUUGGAACUAAGACACUGUACAAACUCCUACGACAGGGAGCAGUGAGGAAUAUUGGUCAAUGGGCGAGAGCCUGAACCAGCAAAGUAGCGUGCAGUAUGACGGCCCUAUGGGUUAUAAACUCCUUUUAUAAGGGAAUAAAGUGGGAGUCGUGACUCCUUUUGCAUGUACCGUAUGAAUAAGGACCGGCUAAGUCCCUGCCAGCCGCCGCAGUAA
rnacentral:rRNA from 1 species